rnacentral:rRNA from 1 species
UAUUAUAUCUCUGAUCUUACAAACGAAGCAGAUUUAGGCUUGGUUAGUACUUGGAUGAAAGACCUUCAAGGAACACUUGGUGAAUAAUAU